UACGAGUGCCUCAAGCGUUAUCCGGAAUUAUUGGGUGUAAAGGGUUUGUAGGCGGUGUUAUUAGUCUCUCGUUAAAUAUGGCAGCUCAACUGUCAAACUGCGGGGGAAACGGUAACGCUCGAGGACGUGAGGGGUGAACAGAACUCUAUGUGUAGGGGUGAAAUCCGUUGAUAUAUAGGGGAAUACCAAAAGCGAAGGCAGUUCACUGGCACGUUUCUGACGCUGAAGCACGAAAGCGUGGGUAGCGAAUGGG
rnacentral:rRNA from 1 species